UACGUAGGGGGCAAGCGUUAUCCGGAUUUACUGGGUGUAAAGGGAGCGUAGACGGCAUGGCAAGUCUGAUGUGAAAACCCGGGGCUCAACCCCGGGACUGCAUUGGAAACUGUCAGGCUAGAGUGUCGGAGAGGCAAGUGGAAUUCCUAGUGUAGCGGUGAAAUGCGUAGAUAUUAGGAGGAACACCAGUGGCGAAGGCGGCUGUCUGGUCUGCAACUGACGCUGAGGCUCGAAAGCAUGGGUAGCGAACAGG
rnacentral:rRNA from 1 species